rnacentral:lncRNA from 1 species
GCUGGCAAGAUUUCUCUUGAAAAUAUAACCUUUUAGCUGAUAUGUCAUACAUAGAGCUCGGCAGGUAUAUAUAGGUGAUAUCUUGCAGCACUCCUUUCUCGAUAUUUAAAGGGGGCAAACCAUGCUCUACACGCACUGCUAAGACCACUGAAACGUGGAUCACCUCUCCACCAGAUUUGCAGGCGCUCUUUUUCAUCCAUCUUGAAACAUGUCAUCACUUAUUCGGUUGAUGUACCAUCACCAUUCGCAUUUGACACAUCAUUCUGCUAUGCCGUGCCCGUGCCAGAAUGAUCUCCCCUAGCCGAGAUCAAAACAAAGCCAACCUUGAAAACAUGCGGGAGUAGUGCAUUUCCAAUAGGAUAAUGGCUAACAAUUUGAUAUUCUCCCUCAUCUCUUACAACUUUUAUAACCUCAAAAUGGUCUGGUUUCUUUGAGGAGCCGUCUUCACAUGAUGAGAUUCAUGCAGUUAUUAAGAAGCUCCCCUCCAAUCAAUUUCUUCGGCCUAAUUUUAUCAACAUUGAUUUUUAUUAAUACUUCGCAAUCAUAAAAAAAGGUUUUUCUAGCCUAUAUGAUGAGUUCUUUAAGGGGGGUAUAAGCCUUUAAAGUAUUCAUAGGCCCUUACCAUCCCUAAUACCUAAAAGAGCAAGAAGAGUAUGAUUGUUGGGUCGCCAUAUGAGAAGUUCCCGAUUAAAAUGCCCAUCAACAUUAGGCAGAUCUUAUCCCACAUUACAUCCACCCUGAUCAUUCUUGGAGGAACCAUUGCCUGAUUGAUCUCUAGCGCAACAUAGUGUUCGAGGCCACGCUCUCUGAGAAUCAUGCAAUCAGCUGCCAUUGGUUAUCGUGCAAGGAUAUCUCGAUGUGCGUCAUUGUCUCCUCCGAUGCGGCCGAGGCAGAAAGGUUACACGUAGACAACGAUUCAAUAUCCGACUCCUCAUGGUUGACACCCAUCUUUUCCCCCUUCUCGUGGUUCC